CGGCGGAACACGUGAAAUUCCGUCGGAAUCCGGGAGGACCAUCUCCCAAGGCUAAAUACUCCCUAGUGACCGAUAGUGAACCAGUACCGUGAGGGAAAGGUGAAAAGCACCCCGGAAGGGGAGUGAAACAGUUCCUGAAACCGUGUGCCUACAAGUAGUUAGAGCCCGUUAAUGGGUGAUAGCGUGCCUUUUGUAGAAUGAACCGGCGAGUUACGAUUUGUUGCAAGGUUAAGCGGAAAAAGCGGAGCCGUAGCGAAAGCGAGUCUGAAUAGGGCGCAUAAGUAACAGGUCGUAGACCCGAAACCAGGUGAUCUACCCAUGUCCAGGAUGAAGGUAAGGUAAUACUUACUGGAGGUCCGAACCCACGCACGUUGAAAAGUGCGGGGAUGAG
rnacentral:rRNA from 1 species